rnacentral:rRNA from 1 species
GAGUUUGAUCCUGGCUCAGGACGAACGCUGGCGGCGCGCCUAACACAUGCAAGUCGAACGGAGCUGAGAGGAGCUUGCUUUUCUUAGCUUAGUGGCGAACGGGUGAGUAACGCGUGAGUAACCUGCCCUGGAGUGGGGGACAACAGUUGGAAACGGCUGCUAAUACCGCAUAAGCCCACGAUCCGGCAUCGGAUUGAGGGAAAAGGAUUUAUUCGCUUCAGGAUGGACUCGCGUCCAAUUAGCUAGUUGGUGAGGUAACGGCCCACCAAGGCGACGAUUGGUAGCCGGACUGAGAGGUUGAACGGCCACAUUGGGACUGAGACACGGCCCAGACUCCUACGGGAGGCAGCAGUGGGGGAUAUUGCACAAUGGGGGAAACCCUGAUGCAGCGACGCCGCGUGGAGGAAGAAGGUUUUCGGAUUGUAAACUCCUGUCGUUAGGGACGAUAAUGACGGUACCUAACAAGAAAGCACCGGCUAACUACGUGCCAGCCGCCGCGGUAAUUC